rnacentral:lncRNA from 1 species
AGAGAGAGCCUCGUAGAUAAAUUGUUGAGUCGGCUUAUUCGUCAUCUUUAUCCGAUGAGUUUCUCUUCUCUUCGUUUCUUUAUAUACUCAAUAAUUGCUCACUCUCUCAUCAUCUCUAUCGCCUGCUCUCUCCUCUCUCUCUAUCGAUGCUUGAAUGGAAUCACAGAAAAUUGUUGGAAAAAUCCAGUUCUAUGAGAGGGUUUUGAGUAUUUAAGUUUAGGUUGAAGGAUUGAGAGAUUAAAGAAGAAAGCCCAAAUUGAUUCUUCAAAGAAAGGGCUGCAAGAAGGUUUUAUCAAUGGAGUCUUGACGAUCCGAAAGUACUGUUGGGAAACUUGAGAAGCGAGCUUCCCGAUGGUGGUGUAUUUCGCCGGCGGAGGUGACCGGUGGUCGGAAAACGGCAAGAAGUGCAGCCUGCCCCUGAACUUGAGGAGUCGAUUUGAGGUACUUAGGCUUUGAAUUUCGGAUUUGUUUCUUCUCAAAAUUUGUAUAGCAGACCGAAAACUAUAGGAAUAUCAUCUUUUCCCCAAAUUUCGACUAUUAUAUAUAACCGAAUUAAACCCGACAGUUAUGUCGGCAAAAUUCAGAGAAAUAAAGACCUGCUGCCGCACCUGUUUUCCCUUGUACUCCUCACUAAGUCCAUUUGGACUUACUCCUCUUUUAUUUUCUUUCUUAUUCUCGGUGUCAGAUGCAUAAGUGGACGAUUGUGUUGACUACACUUAAGAGUAAUGUUACUUGGAAGUCUUAUAGAGUUUAAUCGAGUGAUGUAUUUAAGAAUGGUUGUAAUUCAAGAACUAUGUAUACGAGAUUAGUUGUGAGCUUUAAUUGCCACUUGUAUUUGAUUUUUUUUAAUGUUGAGUAGUUAAGUUGAAGUUGUUGUAUUAAUUAGUAGUCAUAGUAUUCAUUAAAAAAAAAAAAUUAGUUUAUUUCGUUAGUGGGCGUCGCAUUAUGAUUUACG